AUUGAACGCUGGCGGCAGGCCUAACACACGCAAGUCGAACGGACCCUUCGGGGUUAGUGGCGGACGGGUGAGUAACACGUGGGAACGUGCCCUUAAGUUCGGAAUAGCUCCUGGAAACGGGUGGUAAUGCCGAAUGUGCCCUUCGGGGGAAAGAUUUAUCGCCUCUAGAGCGGCCCGCGUCUGAGUAGCUAGUUGGUGAGGUAAUGGCUCACCAAGGCGACGAUCAGUAGCUGGUCUGAGAGGAUGACUAGCCACAUUGGGACUGAGACACGGCCCAAACUACUACGGGAGGCAGCAGUGGUGAAUCUUGCGCAAUGGGCGAAAGCCUGACGCAGCCAUGCCGCGUUGAUGAUGAAGGUCUUAGGAUUGUAAAAUCCUUUCACCGGUGAAGAUAAUGACUGUAGCCGGAGAAGAAGCCCCGGCUAACUUCGUGCCAGCCGCCGCAGUAAGAC
rnacentral:rRNA from 1 species